CCUACGGGUGGCAGCAGUGAGGAAUAUUGGUCAAUGGACGCAAGUCUGAACCAGCCAUGCCGCGUGCAGGAAGACUGCUCUAUGGGUUGUAAACUUCUUUUAUACGGGGAUAAAUCCCAGUACGUAUAUUGUUUUGUACGUAUCUUACGAAUAAGGAUCGGCUAACUCCGUGCCAGCAGCCGCGGUAAUCCGGAGGAUUCAAGCGUUAUCCGGAUUUAUUGGGGUUAAAGGGUGCGUAGGCGGUUCGAUAAGUUAGAUGUGAAAGCGUGGGGCUCAACCCCGGAACUGCAGUUGAUACUGUCGGGCAUGAGUGUAGGUGAGGUAGGCGGAAUGCAUGGUGUAGCGGUGAAAUGCAUAGAGAUCACGAAGAACACCGAUUGCGAAGGCAGCUUACUGAACUACAACUGACGCUGAGGCACGAAAGCGUGGGGAGCAAACAGGAUUAGAUACCCGGGUAGUC
rnacentral:rRNA from 1 species